AUGGAACAACAACAACAAAAGAAACAUUGGGUUUUGACCUUCUCUAUUGCAGUCUCACUCAAAACAACAACCAUUCAUUUGGUUUAUUUUUCUCAAAUUUCUGAAGAACAACUACAUCCCGAUUCUCGCAGUUUCGGUUCUUACGCUGAAUCCAAUAUUCAAGCAACAACAACAAAUAAAACUUCUUUGUUUGUAAAUCAUAAAAAUAACAACAACCUAUGCUCACGAAAACCAAAGAAAUGA